AAUCAUCAACAAUUACAAGAGCAUAGUAAUUUCCACCAAAACUUUUAAUUCUAGAUGGACCAAACAAGUCCAUAUGCAAGAGUUCUAAAGGUUUUGAUGUUGAAAUCAUGCUUUUUGAUGAAAAUGAAGAUUUUGUUUGUUUACCUUUUUGACAUGCAAAGCAUAAUUUGUCUUUCUCAAAUUUCAGUAUAGGCAAACCAAUCACAAGAUCUUUAGAAAUUAAUUUAUUCAAAUGUUGCAUGUGAAUAUGUGCAGCUCUUUUAUGCCNNAGCCAAGGAUUUUCUUCUUUAGCAACUAAGCAUGUUAUACUAUGACUAGAUGCACUUUCAAUAUCAAUC
rnacentral:lncRNA from 1 species